rnacentral:rRNA from 2 species
UUAAUUUGAGAGUUUGAUCCUGGCUCAGGACGAACGCUGGCGGCGUGCCUAAUACAUGCAAGUCGAACGAACUCUGGUAUUGAUUGGUGCUUGCAUCAUGAUUUACAUUUGAGUGAGUGGCGAACUGGUGAGUAACACGUGGGAAACCUGCCCAGAAGCGGGGGAUAACACCUGGAAACAGAUGCUAAUACCGCAUAACAACUUGGACCGCAUGGUCCGAGUUUGAAAGAUGGCUUCGGCUAUCACUUUUGGAUGGUCCCGCGGCGUAUUAGCUAGAUGGUGGGGUAACGGCUCACCAUGGCAAUGAUACGUAGCCGACCUGAGAGGGUAAUCGGCCACAUUGGGACUGAGACACGGCCCAAACUCCUACGGGAGGCAGCAGUAGGGAAUCUUCCACAAUGGACGAAAGUCUGAUGGAGCAACGCCGCGUGAGUGAAGAAGGGUUUCGGCUCGUAAAACUCUGUUGUUGAAGAAGAACAUAUCUGAGAGUAACUGUUCAGGUAUUGACGGUAUUUAACCAGAAAGCCACGGCUAACUACGUGCCAGCAGCCGCGGUAAUACGUAGGUGGCAAGCGUUGUCCGGAUUUAUUGGGCGUAAAGCGAGCGCAGGCGGUUUUUUAAGUCUGAUGUGAAAGCCUUCGGCUCAACCGAAGAAGUGCAUCGGAAACUGGGAAACUUGAGUGCAGAAGAGGACAGUGGAACUCCAUGUGUAGCGGUGAAAUGCGUAGAUAUAUGGAAGAACACCAGUGGCGAAGGCGGCUGUCUGGUCUGUAACUGACGCUGAGGCUCGAAAGUAUGGGUAGCAAACAGGAUUAGAUACCCUGGUAGUCCAUACCGUAAACGAUGAAUGCUAAGUGUUGGAGGGUUUCCGCUCUUCAGUGCUGCAGCUAACGCAUUAAGCAUUCCGCCUGGGGAGUACGGCCGCAAGGCUGAAACUCAAAGGAAUUGACGGGGGCCCGCACAAGCGGUGGAGCAUGUGGUUUAAUUCGAAGCUACGCGAAGAACCUUACCAGGUCUUGACAUACUAUGCAAAUCUAAGAGAUUAGACGUUCCCUUCGGGGACAUGGAUACAGGUGGUGCAUGGUUGUCGUCAGCUCGUGUCGUGAGAUGUUGGGUUAAGUCCCGCAACGAGCGCAACCCUUAUUAUCAGUUGCCAGCAUUAAGUUGGGCACUCUGGUGAGACUGCCGGUGACAAACCGGAGGAAGGUGGGGAUGACGUCAAAUCAUCAUGCCCCUUAUGACCUGGGCUACACACGUGCUACAAUGGAUGGUACAACGAGUUGCGAACUCGCGAGAGUAAGCUAAUCUCUUAAAGCCAUUCUCAGUUCGGAUUGUAGGCUGCAACUCGCCUACAUGAAGUCGGAAUCGCUAGUAAUCGCGGAUCAGCAUGCCGCGGUGAAUACGUUCCCGGGCCUUGUACACACCGCCCGUCACACCAUGAGAGUUUGUAACACCCAAAGUCGGUGGGGUAACCUUUUAGGAACCAGCCGCCUAAGGUGGGACAGAUGAUUAGGGUGAAGUCGUAACAAGGUAGCCGUAGGAGAACCUGCGGCUGGAUCACCUCCUUUCUAAGGAA